GGUUGAUCCUGCCAGUAUUAUAUGCUGAUGUUAAAGAUUAAGCCAUGCAUGUGUAAGUUUAAAGACCAAGUAGGAUGAAACUGCGGACGGCUCAUUAUAACAGUAAUAGUUUCUUUGGUUAGUCGGUACAAGGAUAACUUUGUGAAUGAUAAAGCUAAUACUUGAGACGAUCCGGGGAGUAUUUAUACUUUCUGGCCACUGGCUGCGAGGCCGGUGAGAAACGACAUUCUCUUGUGAAAAAGGAUGCCGCGACAAUUGAGGAAAGCGACGCUUUUAACAAGUAACCAAUGGG
rnacentral:rRNA from 1 species